rnacentral:rRNA from 1 species
GAUGAACGCUGGCGGCGUGCCUAAUACAUGCAAGUCGAGCGAACAGACGAGGAGCUUGCUCCUCUGACGUUAGCGGCGGACGGGUGAGUAACACGUGGAUAACCUACCUAUAAGACUGGGAUAACUUCGUGACACCGGAGCUAAUACCGGAUAAUCUCUUGAACCACAUGGUUCAAUAGUGAAAGACGGUUUUGCUGUCACUUAUCGCUGGAUCCGCGCCGCAUUAGCUAGUUGGUAAGUUAACGGCUUACCAGGGCAACGCUGCGUAGCCGACCUGAGUGGGGGAACGGCCACACUGAAAGUGAGAAGCGGCACAGACACUGAGGGAAGGCAGAGGUAGGGAAGCGUCCGAAAUGGGCGAAAGAUUGACGAAGCAACGGCGGGUGAGUGAUGAAGGUCUUCGGGUGGUAAAACUGUGUUAGUGGGGAAGAACAAAUGUGUAAGUAACUAUGCACGAGUGAAGGGAACGGAUACAGAAAGCCAGGGUAAACAACGG